AAGUCGUAACAAGGUUUUCGUAGGUGAACCUGCGGAAGGAUCAUUAAUGAAGCACAAGAGCGCACUUUACUGUGGCUCGACCCCUUCAUAUCCAUCACCCUGUGAACUGUAAUACCUUUUUUAGACUCUACAAGUCAAAGAAUGUACCACUUUAAAUAAAGUAACAAAA
rnacentral:misc_RNA from 1 species